AGAGUUUGAUCCUGGCUCAGGAUGAACGCUAGCGGGAGGCUUAACACAUGCAAGUCGAACGGUAAGGCACCUUCGGGUGUACACGAGUGGCGAACGGGUGAGUAACACGUACGCAACAUACCUUCAACAGGGGGAUAGCCCAGAGAAAUUUGGAUUAAUACCCCAUAUUAUCCCGAAUUCGCAUGUUUUUGGGAUGAAAACUCCGGUGGUUGAAGAUUGGCGUGCGGCCCAUUAGCUUGUUGGUAAGGUAACGGCUUACCAAGGCUACGAUGGGUAGGGGGCGUGAGAGCGUGAUCCCCCACACUGGUACUGAGACACGGACCAGACUCCUACGGGAGGCAGCAGUGAGGAAUAUUGGUCAAUGGACGAAAGUCUGAACCAGCCAUCCCGCGUGCAGGAUGACGGCCCUAUGGGUUGUAAACUGCUUUUAUCAGGGAAGAAACCCCCCGAUUUAUCGGGGGCUGACGGUACCUGAAGAAUAAGCACCGGCUAACUCCGUGCCAGCAGCCGCGGUAAUACGGAGGGUGCAAGCGUUAUCCGGAUUUAUUGGGUUUAAAGGGUCCGUAGGCGGACCGGUAAGUCAGUGGUGAAAGCCUUCAGCUCAACUGGAGAACUGCCAUUGAUACUGCCGGUCUUGAGUUCGGUUGAAGUGGGCGGAAUAUGUGGUGUAGCGGUGAAAUGCAUAGAUAUCACAUAGAACACCUAUUGCGAAGGCAGCUCACUAAACCAUUACUGACGCUCAUGGACGAAAGUGUGGGUAGCGAACAGGAUUAGAUACCCUGGUAGUCCACACCGUAAACUAUGAUCACUAGAUGUUGGCGAUAUAAUGUCAGUGUCAAAGAGAAAUCGUUAAGUGAUCC
rnacentral:rRNA from 1 species